ensembl:lncRNA
CUUACAGAAGCCAUUAUUUCGGGGUCUCUUUAAAAAUCCAGUGCCCAUCUCUCUGCUUCCCUCCCUUCCUCCCUCCCUCCCUCCUCACUACACCACCCCCAGCGAAAUCCUGGCACCCAGAGAGCACUCUUUUCAGCCAGAGCCCAGAACCAGCCGUUGUCCCCUGGCAAAAGAGGCCCAGUGCUGGGCCCUGGGCAAGUGUCUCCAGACAUCCCUACCUUUCUUUAUUAGUCUUCUUUCCCAACAGAAGCUAUUUCCUUUUGCCACUAAAACUACGUUGCAUCCAAAAGUUUCUCACAAGCUUAGAAAAGAAAAAUGAAAAACUGACACCAUUAUACAGAAGAAUUCACAAAAGCUGCAGAACACCAGGGCAGAGAAGCAGCAGCGUCAGACACAGCGAACCCCGCUGGGUUUGAGGAGCACCUAUAUUUGGAAGAGCCCCAUCAGGGAUAUUCUUGGAAGAUCUGAGGAGAUGAAGUCACUUGUCCUGUGGCUGGGUGACUGCCGCAUUUGAUUUACUAAGACCAGCCGUCCCUAUCCCUGACAGCCACCUACUAUUCGGCUCCAAACGAAAUAGGAACAGAUAUUAGGAAACUGGGGGGAAGGAAGCGGGUAAGCCUCAAGCCGUUGAGGAUACUCCUUUUAGCAGUGAAGACGGUGGAGCUACGCAGAACGGAGAGAAAUUCUUCGUGAGACUUCAUCACACAGGAAUGAUGGAAGAGGCUGUGACUGGAAACUGAAAGACGUCUCAGAUCUCUUUGCGCACCGCAGGUUCUCUCCUGGCAAUUUUCGCCUGAUCAGCCCGCAUAUCUCCGGUUCUUCCUAAUAUUUCCCUACCCUGUUUACCUCCUUUCUGCUCCUGGUCACCCCAAGGUUUGGGCUGCUGAGACUCCUACAAACUUGCCGGUGCACAUCAGGGUGGGCUCUCCCCAGGAGAGUCUCUGGGCUGAUGGAAUACCCUCUCCAGCUGAGAAGUCCCGCAUAAUUUUCGGCGCUCAGCUCCGGAGUCUCUGCUUUAUUUCAGUUUAGUCUCGGGGCAGGGGUGGAGGGGUGAGGGUUGGGGGGUGGAGGACGGAUCCAAGGAUAAUAAACAAUGCUGCUUACUAGAGAUACAAAGUGGGCUCAGAAAAGAACCACUCAGAAAAGCAAACAUCGAUACGUUUUAACAAGUGGUCAGACUUUCGCGGAUGCCUUUGAAAGUUCGCGUUUCUCUAAAAAUACCGAAUUACGCGGAGUUGUUUGAAUGUGCUGGUGGAGAGGCCCACAGGACACACAGGAUGAUGCCUCCACAUCACGCCCAGGGACAGAGUGAAGCUCUCACUGGCCUGUGUCAGAGAAGCUGCUUCUCAGCUUUCCCCCAGACCCUCCUCCCCCCCACCUGCCUCUUCCCUGUAAAUUUCCCUAAGUCUCUAACUCUGACUGGUUUUCAUUCUUCUCUACAGUCUGUGGACACAGAGCCCUUGGAAAGAAGAUUGUGAUGGGCUAAAAGUUGUGAACCUUCUGUGGGCAAGGCCCAUACUUGGUACAGCCAAAGAAAUUCUGUGGCAUCUGCUCCUGAGUCUAGGAAUCACAAGUUAGCCAGCUCCCACUCCGCCCCAAGAGACAGCCUCUCCUCAUCUAUUACCAAGAAGCAGUAGAAUUUAAGGAAAGGGAUGAUACCAUAUUUAAGGGACUUGAAAUUGUAUACAUGACAUUCCUGAGUUAAGUGCUAAAAUACAGUCCCUUUAUUCAUAAGAAAAAAUAGAAAUGCAGUUAAAACUUAUCACUUAAAAACCAUUGCGCUAAAGAGAAAUGGAAAAGUAUGUUGACAUAAAACAUGAACAAAACUAUUCAUAGUAUUGGUGGGGCUAGGAUAUAGUUCAGCAUGGAGGGCUUGUAUAGCACUGUGCAUGGUCCAAGGUUCAGUCCUCAGCACUGGGAAAGAAAAGUGGGAGGGGAUGAAGUAUCCACAGCAGCAUUUCCAAUAUAGGCAGAAAGGGGAAAGAAUUCAAACGCUACCAAUGAAUGGAUAAGCAUAAAGUGGUAUAUCUAUAUAAUGGAAUACUAGUCAGCAGCAGAAAUGUAUGACAUGAUAGAGAUGACAGCAUGGAUGACUUUUUAAACAUCUCCCUAAAUAACAGAAGCCAAUCACAAGGGAAGCCAAUCACAAGCCAAUCACAAUCACAUCCACUCCAUAUUUCUGGAAUAUAUAGACGUACUAAAUACAAAGAAAGCGGAACAGUGGUUGGCUGGGACUUGGAGAGAGGGACUGGACUUUGGGAGACAGUAGAAUGGUGCAGAAUUUCUCUGGGUGGUGAUGAAAAUGUUCUUGAAUUAAUUGAAAUGAAGGUUGCACUUGGUAACUGCAUUUAAAAACCACUGAAUUUUACUUGUAAAUGGAAGAAUUGCAUGGUACAUUGAUUAUAUGUCAAUAAAGCCUUUAAUAUUUUUUAAAAGAUACCUUAAGACCUGGACUGUCUUUCUUCCUUUGAAUCUAAUUGUCUUCUAAUUAAUGUGUCCAAAAUUAAAAGUAGAUCCUACAAGCAG